rnacentral:rRNA from 1 species
AUUGAACGCUGGCGGCAGGCCUAACACAUGCAAGUCGAACGAGUGGCGGACGGGUGAGUAAUGCCUGGGAAACUGCCUGAUGGAGGGGGAUAACUACUGGAAACGGUAGCUAAUACCGCAUACCAUCAGAUGUGCCCAAGUGGGAUUAGCUUGUUGGUGGGGUAACGGCUCACCAAGCCGACGAUCCCUAGCUGGUCUGAGAGGAUGACCAGCCACACUGGAACUGAGACACGGUCCAGACUCCUACGGGAGGCAGCAGUGGGGAAUAGUGCACAAUGGGCGCAAGCCUGAUGCAGCCAUGCCGCGUGUAUGAAGAAGGCCUUCGGGUUGUAAAGUUCUUUCAGUGGGGAGGCGUUACCCGCAGAAGAAGCACCGGCUAACUCCGUGCCAGCAGCCGCGGUAAUAC